AAGAAUUUCGGUCAUCGAUGGGGAUGCGUUCCAUUAGCUUGUUGGCGGGGUAACGGCCCACCAAGGCAUCGAUGGAUAGGGGUUCUGAGAGGAAGGUCCCCCACAUUGGAACUGAGACACGGUCCAAACUCCUACGGGAGGCAGCAGUGAGGAAUAUUGGUCAAUGGGCGCUAGCCUGAACCAGCCAAGUAGCGUGAAGGAUGACUGCCCUAUGGGUUGUAAACUUCUUUUAUAUGGGAAUAAAGUGCAGUAUGUAUACUGCUUUGCAUGUACCUUAUGAAUAAGGAUCGGCUAACUCCGUGCCAGCAGCCGCGGUAAUACGGAGGAUCCGAGCGUUAUCCGGAUUUAUUGGGUUUAAAGGGAGCGUAGGCGGGUUGUUAAGUCAGUUGUGAAAGUUUGCGGCUCAACCGUAAAAUUGCAGUUGAUACUGGCAUCCUUGAGUACAGUAGAGGUAGGCGGAAUUCGUGGUGUAGCGGUGAAAUGCUUAGAUAUCACGAAGAACUCCGAUUGCGAAGGCAGCCUGCUGGACUGUAACUGACGCUGAUGCUCGAAAGUGUGGGUAUCAAACAGGAUUAGAUACCCUGGUAGUCCACACAGUAAACGAUGAAUACUCGCUGUUUGCGAUAUACAGUAA
rnacentral:rRNA from 1 species